AGAAAAUUAGUUAAAGUAUAACAUUAAUAUGUCAUGUUAAAAUAAUUAAAUAAAAAUUAAUAUUUUCUA
rnacentral:tRNA from 1 species